rnacentral:lncRNA from 1 species
AUUAAUUUCCCAUUUAUUUUCCUUUUUUAAGAAUGUGGUACUAGAAAUUUUUUUAAUAACGUGGUUUGCACUUCCAGCUUGUCUUCUAUUUCUAUUGGAUGGUGCUGAUCUAGAAGUGGACAGUACUAUAAGAUAUGUUUCAUUUGAUGACUGUGGAACAGGGAACAAUUAUUAGGAAGACAACGAAAUCAGCAAGGCCCUGAUAUUUUGAGUUAAAGUGCCGGUUAUAACUAUAUCCCAGAGAGCAUUAGUCAUGAGGAGUGAAUAUCUAUCUAUCCUGGCUGUGCAUGUUUUGUGAGACAGCUAACCGAAAAAGUCACAGCAGAGUUCUCCACCAAGGUAGACCAAAGCUUGGCUGUCCCCAUCUUCCACUGACAUCUUAG